rnacentral:rRNA from 1 species
GAUGAACGCUGGCGGCGUGCCUAAUACAUGCAAGUAGAACGCUGAAGCUUGGUGCUUGCACCGAGCGGAUGAGUUGCGAACGGGUGAGUAACGCGUAGGUAACCUGCCUCUUAGCGGGGGAUAACUAUUGGAAACGAUAGCUAAUACCGCAUAAAAGACGAUAUCGCAUGAUAUUGAUUUGAAAGGUGCAAUUGCAUCACUAAGAGAUGGACCUGCGUUGUAUUAGCUAGUUGGUGAGGUAACGGCUCACCAAGGCAACGAUACAUAGCCGACCUGAGAGGGUGAUCGGCCACACUGGGACUGAGACACGGCCCAGACUCCUACGGGAGGCAGCAGUAGGGAAUCUUCGGCAAUGGGGGCAACCCUGACCGAGCAACGCCGCGUGAGUGAAGAAGGUUUUCGGAUCGUAAAGCUCUGUUGUAAGAGAAGAACGAGUGUGAGAGUGGAAAGUUCACACUGUGACG